UACGUAGGGGGCAAGCGUUGUCCGGAUUUAUUGGGUUUAAAGGGUGCGUAGGUGGCUAUCUAAGUCAGUGGUGAAAUAUCCCAGCUUAACUGAGAGGGUGCCAUUGAUACUGGAUAGCUUGAGUACAGAUGAGGUAGGCGGAAUUGACGGUGUAGCGGUGAAAUGCAUAGAUAUCGUCAAGAACACCGAUAGCGAAGGCAGCUUACCAAGCUGUAACUGACACUGAGGCACGAAAGUGUGGGGAUCAAACAGG
rnacentral:rRNA from 1 species